rnacentral:tRNA from 1 species
GGAAGCGUGGCAGAGUGGACGAAUGCGCCGCACUCGAAAUGCGGUAGGUCCGAAAGGGCCUCGGGGGUUCGAAUCCUCCCGCUUCCG